AGCGAACGCUGGCGGCAUGCUUAACACAUGCAAGUCGCACGGGCAGCUUCGGCUGUCAGUGGCGGACGGGUGAGUAACGCGUAGGUAUCUAUCCUUGGGUGGGGGACAACCGUGGGAAACUACGGCUAAUACCGCAUGAUAACUGAGGUUUAAAGGCGCAAGUCGCCUGAGGAGGAGCCUGCGUACGAUUAGCUAGUUGGUGGGGUAAAGGCCUACCAAGGCGACGAUCGUUAGCUGGUCUGAGAGGAUGAUCAGCCACAUUGGGACUGAGACACGGCCCAAACUCCUACGGGAGGCAGCAGUGGGAAUAUUGGACAAUGGGCGAAAGCCUGAUCCAGCAAUGCCGCGUGUGUGAAGAAGGUCUUCGGAUUGUAAAGCACUUUCGACGGGGACGAUGAUGACGGUACCCGUAGAAGAACGCCCCGGCUAACUUCGUGCC
rnacentral:rRNA from 1 species